rnacentral:rRNA from 1 species
GUUGAACGCUGGCGGCAGGCCUAACACAUGCAAGUCGAACGGGUAGCGGACUGGUGAAUAAUUUCUUAACACCUGCCCGAUCGAGGCGUAUAACUACUGGAACCCGUGGCUACUACCGCAUACCAUCGUAUGUGCCCUCAGGGGAUUAGCUAGUCGGUGGGGUAACGGCUCACCAAGGCGACGAUCCCUAGCUGGUCUGAGAGGAUGACCAGCCACACUGGAACUGAGACACGGUCCAGACUCGUACGGGAGGCAGAAGUGGGGAAUAUUGCGCAAUGGGCGAAAGCCGGAUGGAGCCAUGCCGCGUGUAUGAAGAAGGUCUUCGGGUUGUAAAGCACUGUCAGUGGGGAGGCGGUACUCGAAGAAGAAGCACCGGCUAACUACGUGCCAGCAGCCGCGGUAAUAC